UACGUAGGGGGCAAGCGUUGUUCGGAAUACUGGGCGUAAAGGGCGCGUAGGCGGCACGGCAAGUCGGGAGUGAAAGGCCUGGGCUCAACCGAGGAACUGCUUUCGAGACUGCCGAGCUAGAGUGCGGAAGGGGCAACUGGAAUUCCCAGUGUAGCGGUGAAAUGCGUAGAUAUUGGGGAAGAACGACCUGAGGCGGAAGGCGGGUUGCUGGGCCGACACGUGACG
rnacentral:rRNA from 1 species